rnacentral:rRNA from 1 species
CCCAACGGCGAUUAGCUCGACAUACGGCGAGUGAAGCAGCAAUAGCUCAAAUUUGAAAUCUGGCGUCUUCGACGUCCGAGUUGUAAUUUGUAGAGGAUGCUUCUGAGUGGCCACCGACCUAAGUUCCUUGGAACAGGACGUCAUAGAGGGUGAGAAUCCCGUAUGCGGUCGGAAAGGCGCUCUAUACGUAGCUCCUUCGACGAGUCGAGUUGUUUGGGAAUGCAGCUCUAAAUGGGAGGUAAAUUUCUUCUAAAGCUAAAUAUUGGCCAGAGACCGAUAGCGCACAAGUAGAGUGAUCGAAAGAUGAAAAGCACUUUGGAAAGAGAGUUAAAAAGCACGUGAAAUUGUUAAAAGGGAAGGGAUUGCAACCAGACUUGCUCGCGGUGUUCCGCCGGUCUUCUGACCGGUCUACUCGCCGCGUUGCAGGCCAGCAUCGUCUGGUGCCGCUGGAUAAGACUUGAGGAAUGUAGCUCCCUCGGGAGUGUUAUAGCCUCUUGUGAUGCAGCGAGCGCCGGGCGAGGUCCGCGCUUCGGCUAGGAUGCUGGCGUAAUGGUCGUAAUCCGCCCGUCUUGAAACACGGACCAAAA